rnacentral:lncRNA from 1 species
GACAUCCGUUCUGGCCUGAGCGGUCAUCGUCUUCCUACACACAGUCAACACACAGCGAAACACCAACGAAACACCAGCAAACCAUGCACACGUUCNAUAAAUCUAAGAUCUAUGCAUGAAUAUUAAAGACUAAAAGUCGAAGCACCUGGUAGACGAAUACCCCGAUCUGCACCACGAACAACAAGAAUAGGCACACCACUACACCACACCCCCACGGAGAGCAAAAGUAGAGUUUGGAAGUAGUCAGCCAUAGAAAAAAAGAAUGUAACGGAGGUGGGAGAAGAAGAGGUGUGACGAAGGUGGGAGAAGAAUAGGCGAAUCUCAAAAGCUUAAGGGGGUGGUGGUGGGACUAUGAGCAAAGAGUAACAAUAAGAAAAACAGAGUAAAAGCUUAGGGUUAAAGGUUACUAUGCUAAAUAAGAUUAAAAUUAAAAAAGUAAAAAAAUAAUUAAAAAGGUUACAAAAGGAAAAGAAAAAGGUUAUUUUUGUAAUUUAAAAAAUAAAGAAAGUUGGGGAGGUGCAAGGAGGAAACGGGAUGGUGGAGGAAGCAACCCCUUCGCGUAUUAGGCUUUUAGUUCAAGACCCAAUAUGAAAUAAUAUUGUUUACUUAACCAAAUAAAAGACUUUUACUUAUGCACCCUACAACCUUUUUGCACACCCCACCAUAUUUAUCAAAAUGACUACUUUACCAUAUUUCAGAAACUUUCUGAAAUUUCUAAAAGAAAAUAUUUUAAAUAGAAUUACUGAAAUCAGAUUUUCAUAUUAGAAUUUCUGGAAUAAAAUGAAAUACAUUAUAUGACUCGAGUCCUUGUUUGAACCAAAGCAGUAUGUACUUUAGUCAGUGGGUCUGAGAGAAUCGAGACAGUUAGGCUGAUAUGCUAUGGUUUUGUUGAAACCGAAGCGUAAUGUACGAGUUUGAAUUUUUUUUACUAGUGAUUGCUUAUUCCGUAUUCAUGUGAUCUCCAUACGGUCAAGUAUGCUAGUGGGAAAUGGGUCUAACACGGUAUAGCUCCCAAAGUUAAAUUUGUUCAUACUAUAAGGCUAGAUAAAGAUAAGAGUAGAUAAAAGUCAAAGUUAGAAGCUGAACAUUUUUCCAGUUGAUAAGAUAUCUUUAUUAUUAUAAUUAUUGGCUGACAUUCUGAUUAAUUAAUAAGAUAUUUGUAAUUAAAAACCUUUCGUAAUAGAUAAAUACUUGUCAUGAUUAAUAAGAUAUUUGUAAUUAAAAACNUUUCAUAAAACUAGAUAAAUACUUGUCAUUAUUUCAACUAAGUGAUUACAUUGUUAUCAGACCACCUUCCACAAAUAUGAACCGAUAGAUAGACUUAGGUAUAUAAGAGAGAAGACUUACUUUAAAGUUGUUAAUUCGAAAUCAUAUUUAUUACCAUACAACUCUUGAGCAAUAAAACUAAACUUUAAAAUAUGUUAGAAUUUUGUGUAUCAUUAUAUUUUCUUAAACAAAUAAUUGAUUUCUUUCCUAAUAUGANUCGAUGAGAAAGCUCUCAUAAUAGCUCAGUGAGAGAGCUCUCACAAUGACUCCAGAAAGANUUCUCACAAUGGUUGGUUGUCUCAUUAAAACAUAUAUCCAAGUUCUUAGAACGGUUUUAUAAAAAAAAGGUUGUACUUAGGACCUUUUCUUUAUUUUAUAAAAUGAUAGGCUUUUAAGUUUAAAAGAUAUUUAGAAACUGAUUGAUCGGUUUGUGUCAGUAAAAUGCAUGGAUCAUCACCAUUUGCUAGUAUAUAUUCUCUNAAGUUCUCCAUUUUCUUAUUUGUUUUUUUAGUUUUCUCGUCUUCCAAAUUAUUUGGUGGAUCUU